rnacentral:rRNA from 1 species
CCUACGGGUGGCAGCAGUGGGGAAUAUUGCACAAUGGGGGAAACCCUGAUGCAGCGACGCCGCGUGAAUGAAGAAGUACUUCGGUAUGUAAAGCUCUAUCAGCAGGGAAGAAAAUGACGGUCCCUGAUUAAGAAGCCACGGCUAACUAAGUGCCAGCAGCCGCGGUAAUACGUAGGGGGCAAGCGUUAUCCGGAUUUACUGGGUGUAAAGGGAGCGUUGACGGCAGCACAGGUCUGGAGUGAAAUGCCGGGGCUUAACCCCGGAACUGCCUUGGAGACUGUGCAGCUAGAGUGCAGGCGAGGUAAGUGGAAUGCCUAGUGUAGCGGUGAAAUGCGUAGAUAUUAGGCGGAACACCAGUGGCGAAGGCGGCUUACUGGACUGUAACUGACGUUGAGGCUCGAAAGCGUGGGGAGCAAACAGGAUUAGAUACCCGGGUAGUC